rnacentral:rRNA from 1 species
GAUGAACGCUGGCGGCGUGCCUAAUACAUGCAAGUCGAACGCUGGAAAUCUAGCUUGCUCGCUUGAAGGAGUGGCGAACGGGUGAGUAAUACAUAAGCAACCUACCCACGAAGACUGGGAUAAUCUCUGGAAACGGGGACUAAUACCGGAUAGGUAAUCGGAAGGCAUCUUCUGAUUAUUAAAGGUUAAAAACACUGGUGGAUGGGCUUAUGGCGCAUUAGUUAGUUGGUGAGGUAACGGCCCACCAAGACGAUGAUGCGUAGCCGGCCUGAGAGGGUGAACGGCCACAUUGGGACUGAGACACGGCCCAGACUCCUACGGGAGGCAGCAGUAGGGAAUUUGCGGCAAUGGGGGAAACCCUGACCGAGCAACGCCGCGUGAGUGAUGACGGCCUUCGGGUGGUAAAGCUCUGUUGUAAGGGAAGAACGGUAGAUAGAGAAUAUCUAAAUGACGGUACCUUACCAGAAAGCCACGGCUAACUACGU